rnacentral:rRNA from 1 species
AUUGAACGCUGGCGGCAUGCCUUACACAUGCAAGUCGAACGGCAACGGGCCUUCGGGUGCCGCCGAGGGGCGGAGGGGGGCGUAAUACAUCGGAACGUGCCCGAACGUGGGGGAUAACGGGGCGAAAGCUUGGCUAAUACCGCAUACGACCUACGGAUGAAAGCAGGGGACCGCAAGGCCUCGCGCGGCCGUGGGGGCCGAUGGCAGAUUAGGUAGUUGGUGGGAUAAAAGCUUACCAAGCCGACGAUCUGUAGCUGGUCUGAGAGGAUGAUCAGCCACACUGGGACUGAGACACGGCCCAGACUCCUACGGGAGGCAGCAGUGGGGAAUUUUGGACAAUGGGCGCAAGCCUGAUCCAGCCAUGCCGCGUGCGGGAAGAAGGCCUUCGGGUUGUAAACUGCUUUUGUUCGGAAAGAAAAGCCGUAUUUUAAUACAGGGGUGUCAUGACGGUACCGUAAGAAUAAGCACCGGCUAACUACGUG